rnacentral:rRNA from 1 species
AUUACCGCGGCUGCUGGCACGGAGUUAGCCGGUGCUUCUUCUGCGAGUAACGUCAAUUGAUGAGCGUAUUAAGCUCACCACCUUCCUCCUCGCUGAAAGUGCUUUACAACCCGAAGGCCUUCUUCACACACGCGGCAUGGCUGCAUCAGGCUUGCGCCCAUUGUGCAAUAUUCCCCACUGCUGCCUCCCGUAGG